rfam:Brochothrix thermosphacta DSM 20171 = FSL F6-1036 c13, whole genome shotgun sequence.
GGGUUGUUAGCUCAGUUGGUAGAGCAGCUGACUCUUAAUCAGCGGGUCGAGGGUUCAAGCCCCCCACAGCCCA